rnacentral:rRNA from 1 species
UGUCCUACGGGGGGCAGCAGUGAGGAAUAUUGGUCAAUGGCCGGAAGGCUGAACCAGCCAAGCCGCGUGAAGGACGAAGGUGCCAAGCAUUGUAAACUUCUUUUGUCAAGGGACAAAAUCAGGCUCGAGAGCCUGACCGAGGGUACUUGAAGAAAAAGCAUCGGCUAACUCCGUGCCAGCAGCCGCGGUAAUACGUAGGUGGCAAGCGUUGUCCGGAAUUACUGGGUGUAAAGGGAGCGCAGGCGGGAAGCCAAGUCAGCUGUGAAAACUACGGGCUUAACUUGUAGACUGCAGUUGAAACUGGG